rnacentral:rRNA from 1 species
UGGGGAAUAUUGGGCAAUGGGCGAAAGCCUUACCCAGCAACGCCGCGUGAGGGAAGAAGGUUUUCGGAUUGUAAACCUCUGUCCUGGGGGACGAAGGAAGUGACGGUACCCCGGGAGGAAGCCCCGGCUAACUACGUGCCAGCAGCCGCGGUAAUACGUAGGGGGCGAGCGUUGUCCGGAAUUAUUGGGCGUAAAGGGCGCGUAGACGGCCGAGUAAGUUAUAGGUGAAAGCCCAUCUUUCAAGGAUGGAAUUGCCUGUAAUACUGCUUGGCUUGAGUGCAGGAGAGGGAAGCGGAAUUCCUAGUGUAGCGGUGAAAUGCGUAGAUAUUGGGAGGAACACCAGUGGCGAAGGCGGCUUACUGGACGGUAACUGACGUUGAGGCUCGAAAGCGUGGGGAGCAAACAGGAUUAGAUACC